UGGCCUACAGGAACAAGGAACAGUCAGGAAGUCAUGAGGAAUGACUGAUACCCAAAGCUGGAGCAGUUAAUCCGUGCAUUGAGGCCCCCACAGAUUUUAUAAAUCCCCGUCGAUCAGUGUAUUUCAUCUAUAUCAUGACCCCAAGGCUCUGCCUUAUCAUUUCAACACAUACUUGCGGGCUUCUCCAGAGUUUAUUGUAUUUGAUACAAUACUAUACAAAGUUAUUCCCCUUAGAUCUGUGAUCAUAAAGUUUUCCAUAAGAAACAUACAUUGGUACACAAACUACUACAGCUGUUUUCAUGAGUAUAUUACAAUUUAAAAGAAUGCCACUGUUAAAUGCAUUUGAUAAAAUAUGCACUGUUCUCUAAACACUGCCAUAUAAAAUGUCGGCCUAUCUUUUCAAAGAGCCUCUCCCUUCAGGACAUGUUUCUUUGAUCACCUCUUUUCCAGACCAUCAUCAAAAGUUUCAUUCAGGUGCAAGGUGCCUGCUGCUGUGACAAGCUGGAAAAUCCAUUGCAUUUCCAGGGUCACCUGUUUGUCAUUAGCUUCAUCAAUGAGACAGCCAGCAUCAAGGUCAAGGUCUUCACAUCCAGGCUUCUCUCAAGCCCCACCAAUGAGCUAAGAAGCUGUCACCAUCCUCUUGGACUUCCCGGCCUCCAAAACC
rnacentral:lncRNA from 1 species